GGAAGGUGCAAGCGUUAAUCGGAAUUACUGGGCGUAAAGCGCGCGUAGGCGGCUAGAUAAGUCGGGUGUGAAAGCCCUGGGCUCAACCUGGGAACUGCAUUCGAUACUGUCUGACUAGAGUGUGAUAGAGGGAGGCGGAAUUCCACAUGUAGCGGUGAAAUGCGUAGAGAUGUGGAGGAACACCAAUGGCGAAGGCAGCCUUCUGGAUCAACACUGACGCUGAGGUGCGAAGGGCGUGGGGAGCAAACAGGAUUAGAUACCCUGGUAGUCCCACGCCGUAAACGAUGUCAACUAGCCGUUGGGAGCAAUUUGGCUCUUGGUGGCGCAGCUAACGCGAUAAGUUGACCGCCUGGGGAGUACGGUCGCAAGAUUA
rnacentral:rRNA from 1 species